GACAGAGGGGGCAAGCGUUGUCCGGAUUUACUGGGCGUAAAGAGCGCGCAGGCGGUCGGGUAAGUCGAAUGUGAAAGCCCCCGGCUCAACUGGGGAGGGUCAUUCGAUACUGUUCGACUCGAGGGCAGGAGAGGGAAGUGGAAUUCCCGGUGUAGUGGUGAAAUGCGUAGAUAUCGGGAGGAACACCAGUGGCGAAGGCGACUUCCUGGCCUGUUCUUGACGCUGAGGCGCGAAAGCUAGGGGAGCAAACGGG
rnacentral:rRNA from 1 species